rnacentral:rRNA from 1 species
AGUAAUGCGUGAGGAACCUGCCUCAAAGAGGGGGACAACAGUUGGAAACGGCUGCUAAUACCGCAUAAGCCCACGGCUCGGCAUCGAGCAGAGGGAAAAGGAGCAAUCCGCUUUGAGAUGGCCUCGCGUCCGAUUAGCUAGUUGGUGAGGUAAUGGCCCACCAAGGCAACGAUCGGUAGCCGGACUGAGAGGUUGAACGGCCACAUUGGGACUGAGACACGGCCCAG